GAUGAACGCUAGCGGCAGGCUUAACACAUGCAAGUCGAGGGGUAUGGGAAGCUUGCUUCCCAGAGACCGGCGCACGGGUGCGUAACGCGUAUGCAACCUACCUUGAACAGGGGGAUAGCCCAGAGAAAUUUGGAUUAAUACCCCAUGGUAUUAUCGAUUCGCAUGUUUUGAUAAUUAAAGGUUACGGUAUAAGAUGGGCA
rnacentral:rRNA from 1 species